AAGGGCCGCAGUAUUCUGACUGUGCAAAGGUAGCAUAAUCACUAGGUUUUUAAUUGGGAUCUUGUAUGAAUGAUUGGACAAGAAAAAUACUGUCUUUAUGUUAUAGUUUGAAUUUAACUUUUAAGUGAAAAGGCUUAAAUACGCUAGAGGGACGAUAAGACCCUAUAAAACUUUACAUUGUGAGUUAAUGUUUAUUAAUUUAUAUGAUAAUAAUAAAAUUUAAUUUGCUUGUUAUGUUGGGGAGACAAAGGCUAUAAUUUAUAUUAACUGCUUCAAAAUAAAACAAAAAUGAAUGAUUAAGUUUUAAGGUCCUUUAUAGAGAUUAUAAGAUUAAGUUACUUUAGGGAUAACAGCGUUAUUUUUUUUGAGAGUUCUUAUCGAAAAAAGAGAUUGCGACCUCGAUGUUGAAUUAAAAUAUCUUUAUAAUGUAGGCGUUAUAAAAGAGGGUCUGUUCGACCUUUAAUUUUUUACGUGAUC
rnacentral:rRNA from 1 species